rnacentral:rRNA from 1 species
CGCUGGCGGCGUGCCUAACACAUGCAAGUCGAGCGGGGACAUGCGACGGAAGCGAAGUUUCGGAUGGAGCGGAAGAUGCAUGUUCUAGCGGCGGACGGGUGAGUAACGCGUGAGCAACCUGUCCCUUACAGGGGGAUAACACAGCGAAAGUUGUACUAAUACCGCAUAAGACCACGGGAGGACAUCCUUCAGGGGUCAAAGGAGUAAUCCGGUAAGGGGUGGGCUCGCGUCCGAUUAGAUAGUUGGUGAGGUAACGGCCCACCAAGUCGACGAUCGGUAGCCGACCUGAGAGGGUGAUCGGCCACAUUGGGACUGAGACACGGCCCAAACUCCUACGGGAGGCAGCAGUGGGGAAUAUUGGGCAAUGGGGGGAAAACCCCCUGACCCAGCAACGCCGCGUGAGGGAAGAAGGUUUUCGGAUCGUAAACCUCUGUCCUUGGUGAAGAGAGAGAGACGGUAGCCAAGGAGGAAGCCCCGGCUAACUACGUGCCAGCAGCCGC